rnacentral:rRNA from 1 species
GACGAACGCUGGCGGCGUGCCUAAUACAUGCAAGUCGAGCGAAUCAGCAGGAGCUUGCUCCUGUUGGUUAGCGGCGGACGGGUGAGUAACACGUGGGCAACCUGCCUGUAAGACUGGGAUAACACCGGGAAACCGGUGCUAAUACCGGAUAAUCCUUUUCCUCUCAUGAGGAAAAGCUGAAAGUCGGUUUCGGCUGACACUUACAGAUGGGCCCGCGGCGCAUUAGCUAGUUGGUGAGGUAACGGCUCACCAAGGCGACGAUGCGUAGCCGCCCUGAUAGGGUGAGCGGCCACACUGGGACUGAGACACGGCCCAGACUCCUACGGGAGGCAGCAGUAGGGAAUCUUCCACAAUGGACGAAAGUCUGAUGGAGCAACGCCGCGUGAGCGAUGAAGGCCUUCGGGUCGUAAAGCUCUGUUGUUAGGGAAGAACAAAUACCGGAGUAACUGCCGGUACCUUGACGGUACCUAACCAGAAAGCCACGGCUAACUACGUGCCAGCAGCCGCCGUAA